GAGAAACUGAUCAGCUGAUUGUCCGGUGUAGAGGCUGAUCAAAUCUCCGGCAGCUCACCCAGCCGAUGGGCUUACGACAAUCGAAUGCAAAGAUUCAACCGAUUUGCAGUUUCAGUAACAGUUAUAUCACCUCUUCACUAUGACUUCGGCCUCUCCGUUUGGGUUUACAACUGGUGAAAUGGGAACGACUGAAAGAGAAAAGCAGGCUGUUGUAUAAACCCUUUCUCGCUUUCCACCCACUAUGGUGAAAUGACGACGUCAGGACAUUUGCUUGAUUUAAAGGCCGUUUCACAAAGAAGAAGUGGCUAUCUAAAUACUUGGCGUUGGAAUUGGUGCGAAGUGCCUGUAACUAGUAGCAACAGUUUGCUAAGAAAUCGCAUUUAAUAGAUGCAGUGGAAGUCUGCCAAGUAGGACGUUGAUGACUGACCAUGGUGAAAGAACACAAGAUUUCAAUUCUCAAAUACUGCGAGCAGUUGCGCAGGGGAAGUGUUGGAGUAUCAGAAAAGAAUGUGACAAUGACCAUGCGAGUGCCGACGUGUUGGGUGAUCUGCCGGUGGUUGAAAACGGCGUCGUUCAUGGUGAUACAUUCUCCUGAACCGAGCUAUCAUUGUUUGGAAGGUCCACCAGUGGAGCUUGUGCUGUUUCAAAAGACAUCACGGAAGUGUUGCAUUUCAAUAUUCCUUACGGAUGAAUUGCGGACUUGAUCCUUGGUGGUUUCUUCGCAUCUUACAUUCGCGGUGACUUUCUUGGACGUAGAGGUGAGGCAAGGUACGAGACAGUGGAUGAAGUUUGUUGCGUUCCAGAAGAUGAUUGCUCUGAGCCUCUUCGUGAUAGCUUCGCACACGAUUGCUCAGUGGGCAUCUUUGUUGCUUGAUUUUCAGUGCACUUGGAGUUGUUUAACGUCAGUCGGUGCUUGACAGUGAGUGUGUGCCAUUCAGCAAUGGAUCAUGUUUACUAUAAAAACUCCUGCAUCUACGCAUUUUGAGAGGAACUAGAGCAGCAGCAGCAGCAGCAAGGCUUAAUCUGCUCAACCUAUUGCUGCAAACCAUUGUUUGCCUGCGUCAAAUUUGUAUUCGUUAAAUUUCUCGUUAUCCAAGGGAAAGCUAAGGUACGAUACUUCGUGCGAGUCUUUAGUUUACACAAUAACAGCAAAUUAUUCAACAGGAUUCGAAACAGGAUGUAUACGUUGAGGAAUCCAAUGGAGAGCACACCUUAACACGAACGAGACGCGAAAGGUUCCUUCCCGAAUAUUCUCGAGACCACGCAAUCGAAUAAUGUAGUGCAUCGCGUGUACUUUACACCUUGUACCCAACAAACGAUCUGAACCGAGGCAACAACCUGGUGGACACGUCUCCCAUGAAACUCUGUUAGUGCACUUGCGAGAUGCAGGGAAAGUCUACAGAAGCACUUCUUUGGAUAUUCACAACUUUUUGAAAGCAGCAUCAUGGUGAUCUCAUCUACUCGCGCAGUGCCCAUUUGUCCACAUCAUGAGCCACGUACCAGCACAAAGACUCCAAGCACAUCCGCGGCGUAAAACAUUCCCCUCAACCACCGCACCUACUCGCAUCAAUGUUAUUCUACAAACAGUGCACUUCCCACAUACACGUUUGUCGUUCUCAGCACCCCUUUGCAGCACUUGGAUUUACAGACAUAACCACGGCUGCCAAUACGAGAGUGCACCUUCAUUCAACCCACCUCUCUACCAGACAAUCCAACGCGCAAACCAGCCACCCCGAGCCUGGUGCACUCAAUCAACCAUGUUGAAACGUGACUGUGCGCACUGGUCACCACUCAAAAUGCAUCAUUCCAAUCCUGACAACCCCAUGACAAUCGUCACCACGGCUUAGUAGGCACACGACACUAAGUUAAGUGCUCAUGGGAAUCGGUGGGCACUGUUCUAGUUAAGGAAUUAGGGCAUGCAGCUGAGACAGCGUGGGUGCAGCGGCGAACUCAAAGACGUUUAU